AGCGAACGCUGGCGGCAGGCUUAACACAUGCAAGUCGAGCGGGCGUAGCAAUACGUCAGCGGCAGACGGGCGAGUAACGCGUGGGAACGUACCUUUUGGUUCGGAACAACACAGGGAAACUUGUGCUAAUACCGGACAAGCCCUUACGGGGAAAGAUUUAUCGCCGAAAGAUCGGCCCGCGUCUGAUUAGCUAGUUGGUAGGGUAGUGGCCUACCAAGGCGACGAUCAGUAGCUGGUCUGAGAGGAUGAUCAGCCACAUUGGGACUGAGACACGGCCCAAACUCCUACGGGAGGCAGCAGUGGGGAAUAUUGGACAAUGGGGGCAACCCUGAUCCAGCCAUGCCGCGUGAGUGAUGAAGGCCCUAGGGUUGUAAAGCUCUUUUGUGCGGGAAGAUAAUGACGGUACCGCAAGAAUAAGCCCCGGCUAACUUCGUGCCAGCCGCCGCGGUAA
rnacentral:rRNA from 1 species